ACUACUAGUACUAUGCCCUCAGCUGGUAAGCCUCGGCAGACUGAUUAUGAUGGUUGGUAGAGUGUAGGCACAGAGGAGAGGGUUGUUAAGACUAGGGUUCAACCCAUAGUUAUAAUAACAAUAAUACAUUUUAUUUGGCGGACACCUUUCAAGAGGAGUUUGGCAUAUAAGGGCAGCGGAGCAUUUGUUUAUGGAAGUUUUUCCUGUCAUAAUCAGGUGCCGAGCUGCCCUGCCCAAGCCAAAGGGAGGACAGCUGCAUAUGAUCUCCCCUGGCGACUGGAUCGUGGUGAAGAAUCUGAGACGAAUGCACUGGCACCAACCUCGGUGGAGGGGACCAUACCAAGUGCUGCUGACCCCUCCGACUAUGGUCAGGAUCGCUGAAAGGGACAACUGGAUCCAAGGAUCCCACUGCCUGAACGUGGGCAACCCUGAGGACGAUCAGAUAUGAGUAGGUGGACCACAAAACAAGUGGAGUGGAAGAACCUGUCAAUGUUGGGGUGAGUGUCUGUGAUUUGCUUCGAAUAUGUAUGUGCUUUGAAUAUUUCUCUGCCUGUGCUACGUUUACAGCAUACAACGUAAUAAUGACAAUAUCCAUGAUGUUUCGAGCAUGUUUCCUGCUAAAUUACAGGACUGUUUUGCUAGCACAGACUGGAAUAUGUUCCGGGAUUCUUCCGAUGGCAUUGAGGAGUACGCACAUCAGUCACUGGCUUCAUCGAGGAUGUCGUCCCCACAGUGACUGUGCGUACAUACCCCAACCAGAAGCCAUGGAUUACAGGCAACAUUCGCACUGAGCUAAAGGGUAGAGCUGCCACUUUCAAGGUACGAGACUCUAACCCGGAAGCUUAUUAGAAAUCCUGCUAAGACGAACCAUCAAACAGGCAAAGUGCAAAUACAGGACUAAGAUUGAAUUGCACUAUACCGGCUCCGAUACUCGUUGGAUAUGGCAGGGCCUGAAAACUAUUACAGAAUACAAAGGGAAGCACAGUCACAAACUGCCCAGUGACAUGAGCCUAGCAGAUGAUCUAAAUCACUUCUAUGCUCGCUUCGAGGCAAGCAACACUGAGGCAUGCAUGAGAGAAUCAGCUGUUCCGGACCACUGUGUUAUCACAGACGGAUUACCAGGACGUAUGUUCCGGGCAUGUGCUGACCAACUGGCAGGUAUCUUCACUGACAUUUUCAACAUGCCCCUGAUUGAGUCUGUAAUACCAACAUGCUUCAUGCAGACCACCAUAGUCCCUGAGGUAACCUGCCUAAAUGACUACAGACCCGUAGCACUCACAUCCAUAGCCAUGAAGUGCUUGGAAAGGCUGGGCAUGGCUCAUGUUAACACCAUUAUCCCAGAAAGCCUAGACCCACUCCAAUUUGCAUACCGCUCAAACAGAUCCACAGAUAAUGCAAUCUCUAU